rfam:Equus caballus chromosome 1, whole genome shotgun sequence.
GCCCUGGUGGUCUAGUGGUUAAGAUUCGGCACUCUCACUGCUGGGGCCCAGGUUCAUUUCCUGGUCAGGGUA